rnacentral:rRNA from 1 species
UGGGGAAUAUUGCACAAUGGAGGAAACUCUGAUGCAGCGACGCCGCGUGAGUGAUGAAGUAGUUCGCUAUGUAAAGCUCUAUCAGCAGGGAAGAUAGUGACGGUACCUGACUAAGAAGCUCCGGCUAAAUACGUGCCAGCAGCCGCAGUAAUACGUAGGGGGCAAGCGUUAUCCGGAUUUACUGGGUGUAAAGGGAGCGCAGGCGGCGAAGCAAGCCAGAGGUGAAAAACCCGGGGCUCAACCCCGAGGAUUGCCUUUGGAACUGUUUUGCUUGAGUGCUGGAGGGGCAGGCGGAAUUCCUGGUGUAGCGGUGAAAUGCGUAGAUAUCAGGAGGAACACCGGUGGCGAAGGCGGCCUGCUGGACAGUAACUGACGCUGAGGCUCGAAAGCGUGGGGAGCAAACAGGAUUAGAUACCCUGGUAGU